GCGAGUGAAGCGGGACCGGCUCAAUGUGUGAAUCUGGCUUGGGGUAGAUCCCUGGUCCGAGUUGUGCACUAUGGACGUUUCGUCUGCGUUUGUAAUGGCGGUGGAAGUCCGUUGAAACACGGCACCUCAGAGGGUCACAGUCCUGUACCACCUGCCUGCACUCGCGCCAAUGACAAGCGCUCCUCGAGUCGCGUAGUUUUGUAAUGCUGCGCCAAGUGGGAGGUAGAGACCUUCUAAGGCUAAAUAUGAUGACGUGACCGAUAGCACACAAGUACCGCGAGGGAAAGGUGAAAAGCAACCAUGAAAAAUGGGUUGAAACAGUAGUGAAAGCGCUACCGGGAUAAGGGCUAUCGGGUGCUGGGGCUUCUUGGGUGUGCUUCAGUGCUACCCUUGGAGACGGCCCGCGUGGGUUGAUGUUGGGGCGAUAGACGCGCCGUUGGAAUUCAGCUGUCUUCGGGCAGUGUUGUAGCCUUCGGUUGCCGAUCCUCCUGCGAC
rnacentral:rRNA from 1 species